rnacentral:sRNA from 1 species
GGCUUCAGCCCAGCUGGUGGCUGCUCUCUGAGAAGCAGAGACCUUGAGCACAUCUCAGCCCACAGGCAGCCCCAUGAAGAGCCCUGUCUGCACCUUGCCCUUCCCCACCGAGACUCUCCAGCAGGGACUCUGGCCUGCUGGGCUGCCACGAUCUCUCGCAUGGAUCCCCACAGAUGGUACGGAGGGAUAUCGGGCUGUCAGUGACGCACAGGUUCUCCACCAAGUCCUGGCUGUCGCAGGUCUGCCACGUGUGCCAGAAGAGCAUGAUAUUUGGAGUGAAGUGCAAGCAUUGCAGGUUGAAGUGUCACAACAAAUGUACCAAAGAAGCCCCUGCCUGUAGAAUAUCCUUCCUGCCACUAACUCGGCUUCGGAGGACAGAAUCUGUCCCCUCGGACAUCAACAACCCGGUGGACAGAGCAGCCGAACCCCAUUUUGGAACCCUCCCCAAAGCACUGACAAAGAAGGAGCACCCUCCGGCCAUGAAUCACCUGGACUCCAGCAGCAACCCUUCCUCCACCACCUCCUCCACACCCUCCUCACCGGCGCCCUUCCCGACAUCAUCCAACCCAUCCAGCGCCACCACGCCCCCCAACCCCUCACCUGGCCAGCGGGACAGCAGGUUCAACUUCCCAGACAUUUCGGCCUUUGCACACGCAGCCCCGCUCCCUGAAGCUGCCGACGGUACCCGGCUCGAUGACCAGCCGAAAGCAGAUGUGUUGGAAGCUCACGAAGCGGAG